UACGUAGGGUGCAAGCGUUGUCCGGAAUUAUUGGGCGUAAAGAGCGUGUAGGCGGCCAGGUAGGUCUGCUGUGAAAACUCGAGGCUUAACCUCGAGCUGUCGGCGGAAACCAUCUGGCUAGAGUCCGGAAGAGGAGAGUGGAAUUCCUGGUGUAGCGGUGAAAUGCGCAGAUAUCAGGAAGAACACCCGUGGCGAAGGCGGCUCUCUGGGACGGUACUGACGCUGAGACGCGAAAGCGUGGGGAGCGAACAGG
rnacentral:rRNA from 1 species